rnacentral:rRNA from 1 species
GAUGAACGCUGGCGGCGUGCCUAAUACAUGCAAGUCGAGCGAACGGACGAGAAGCUUGCUUUUCUGAUGUUAGCGGCGGACGGGUGAGUAACACGUGGAUAACCUACCUAUAAGACUGGGAUAACUCCGGGAAACCGGAGCUAAUACCGGAUAAUAUUUUGAACCGCAUGGUUCAAAAGUGAAAGACGGUCUUGCUGUCACUUAUAGAUGGAUCCGCGCUGCAUUAGCUAGUUGGUAAGGUAACGGCUUACCAAGGCAACGAUGCAUAGCCGACCUGAGAGGGUGAUCGGCCACACUGGAACUGAGACACGGUCCAGACUCCUACGGGAGGCAGCAGUAGGGAAUCUUCCGCAAUGGGCGAAAGCCUGACGGAGCAACGCCGCGUGAGUGAUGAAGGUCUUCGGAUCGUAAAACUCUGUUAUUAGGGAAGAACAUAUGUGUAAGUAACUGUGCACAUCUUGACGGUACCUAAUCAGAAAGCCACGGCUAACUACGUGCCAGCAGCCGCGGUAAUACGUAGGUGGCAAGCGUUAUCCGGAAUUAUUGGGCGUAAAGCGCGCGUAGGCGGUUUUUUAAGUCUGAUGUGAAAGCCCACGGCUCAACCGUGGAGGGUCAUUGGAAACUGGAAAACUUGAGUGCAGAAGAGGAAAGUGGAAUUCCAUGUGUAGCGGUGAAAUGCGCAGAGAUGUGGAGGAACACCAGUGGCGAAGGCGACUUUCUGGUCUGUAACUGACGCUGAUGUGCGAAAGCGUGGGGAUCAAACAGGAUUAGAUACCCUGGUAGUCCACGCCGUAAACGAUGAGUGCUAAGUGUUAGGGGGUUUCCGCCCCUUAGUGCUGCAGCUAACGCAUUAAGCACUCCGCCUGGGGAGUACGACCGCAAGGUUGAAACUCAAAGGAAUUGACGGGGGCCCGCACAAGCGGUGGAGCAUGUGGUUUAAUUCGAAGCAACGCGAAGAACCUUACCAAAUCUUGACAUCCUUUGACAACUCUAGAGAUAGAGCCUUCCCCUUCGGGGGACAAAGUGACAGGUGGUGCAUGGUUGUCGUCAGCUCGUGUCGUGAGAUGUUGGGUUAAGUCCCGCAACGAGCGCAACCCUUAAGCUUAGUUGCCAUCAUUAAGUUGGGCACUCUAAGUUGACUGCCGGUGACAAACCGGAGGAAGGUGGGGAUGACGUCAAAUCAUCAUGCCCCUUAUGAUUUGGGCUACACACGUGCUACAAUGGACAAUACAAAGGGCAGCGAAACCGCGAGGUCAAGCAAAUCCCAUAAAGUUGUUCUCAGUUCGGAUUGUAGUCUGCAACUCGACUACAUGAAGCUGGAAUCGCUAGUAAUCGUAGAUCAGCAUGCUACGGUGAAUACGUUCCCGGGUCU